rnacentral:rRNA from 1 species
GAUGAACGCUAGCGGCAGGCCUAACACAUGCAAGUCGAGGGGUAGAAGGAGCUUGCUCCUUUGAGACCGGCGCACGGGUGCGUAACGCGUAUGCAAUCUACCUUGUACAGGGGAAUAGCCCAGAGAAAUUUGGAUUAAUGCCCCAUAGUAUAUAACCUUCGCAUGUUGGUUAUAUUAAAGUUCCAACGGUACAGGAUGAGCAUGCGUCCCAUUAGUUAGUUGGUAAGGUAACGGCUUACCAAGACGAUGAUGGGUAGGGGUCCUGAGAGGGAGAUCCCCCACACUGGUACUGAGACACGGACCAGACUCCUACGGGAGGCAGCAGUGAGGAAUAUUGGUCAAUGGUCGCAAGACUGAACCAGCCAUGCCGCGUGCAGGAAGACGGUCCUAUGGAUUGUAAACUGCUUUUAUACAGGAAGAAACCCUCCCACGUGUGGGAGCUUGACGGUACUGUAGGAAUAAGGAUCGGCUAACUCCGUG